GGGGAUGUAGCUCAGUGGUAGAGCACUAGCCUAGGCUAGCAUGGGUGAGGCUUGGGGUUCAUCCUCA
rnacentral:tRNA from 1 species